rnacentral:misc_RNA from 1 species
CGAAAUCUAUGUCCCCUCCUUUGUAAAACGGUGCGAAAUCUGGUGAAGUAGACAAACUGAACCCUCCUCCCUUCCGCUGUAAACCGCAGCCUUCAAAGAAAAAGGGAUUUCUGGUGCUCUGGGGGGUAAAACGCAGAGAGGGAUUGUGUUGUGACAAGGAGCAAUUAUGCUUGCUUGAGCCUUGAGUCACAGUAGUGAUGCUUGAGGCGCAAGAUCUGUGGAUUGUUGGUGCUUGGCCUGUGAGAGGGGAUCGAG